CUCGGAAGCUAAGCAGGCUCAGGCCUGGUUAGUACUUGGACGGGAGACCGCCUGGGAAUACCAGGUGCCGUAGGCUU
rnacentral:rRNA from 1 species